AAACUCAAAUGAAUGACGGGGCCCGCACAAGCGUGGAGCAUGUGGUUUAAUUUCGACGCAACGCGAAGAACCUUACCAGGGCUUGACAUCCCCUGACCGCGUAUGAAAGUACGUUUUCACCCUCGGGUGACAGGGAGACAGGUGGUGCAUGGUUGUCGUCAGCUCGUGUCGUGAGAUGUUGGGUUAAGUCCCGCAACGAGCGCAACCCCUACGUUUAGUUGCUAACAGGUGAAGCUGAGCACUCUAGACGAACUGCCGUUGACAAAACGGAGGAAGGUGGGGAUGACGUCAAAUCAUCAUGCCCCUUAUGUUCUGGGCUACACACGUGCUACAAUGGCCGGUACAGACGGAGGCGAAGCCGCGAGGCGGAGCAAAUCCGAAAAAGCCGGUCUCAGUUCGGAUUGAAGUCUGCAACUCGACUUCAUGAAGUCGGAAUCGCUAGUAAUCGCGGAUCAGAACGCCGCGGUGAAUACGUUCUCGGGGUUU
rnacentral:rRNA from 1 species